AGCAGCGUAGAGAAGUGGCAUCUCGCCGGGCUCAUAUCCCGGAGGUCGCCGUUCGAGUCGGGCCGCUGCUACC
rnacentral:tRNA from 1 species